UACGGAGGAUGCAAGCGUUAUCCGGAUUUAUUGGGUUUAAAGGGUGCGUAGGCCGUUUGGCAAGUCAGGGGUGAAAGCCCAGUGCUCAACACUGGAACUGCCUUUGAUACUGUCAGACUUGAAUACGGUUGCCGUGGGAGGAAUGAGUAGUGUAGCGGUGAAAUGCAUAGAUAUUACUCAGAACACCGAUUGUGAAGACAUCUCACGAAGCCGUGAUUGACGCUGAGGCACGAAAGCGUGGGGAU
rnacentral:rRNA from 1 species